AACGUACUCCCUUCGUUCGGAAUUACUUGUCGCGGAAAUGGAUGUAUCUGCUUCUAGAUACAUCCAUUUCCGCGACAAGUAAUUUCGAACGGAGGGAGUAGUAU
rfam:Triticum aestivum genome assembly, contig: Triticum_aestivum_CS42_TGACv1_scaffold_288745_4AL